GACGAACGCUGGCGGCGUGCUUAACACAUGCAAGUCGAACGGAAAGGCCCUGCUUUUGUGGGGUGCUCGAGUGGCGAACGGGUGAGUAACACGUGAGUAACCUGUCCUUGACUUUGGGAUAACUUCAGGCAACUGGGGCUAAUACCGGAUAGGAGUUCCUGCUGCAUGGUGGGGGUUGGAAAGUUUCGGUGGUUGGGGAUGGACUCGCGGCUUAUCAGCUUGUUGGUGGGGUAGUGGCUUACCAAGGCUUUGACGGGUAGCCGGCCUGAGAGGGUGACCGGCCACAUUAGGACGGGGAUACGGCCCGGACUCCUACGGGAGGCAGCGGUGGGGAAUAUUGCACAAUGGGCGGAGGCCUGAUGCAGCAACGCCGCGUGCGGGAUGACGGCCUUCGGGUUGUAAACCGCUUUCGCCUGUGACGAAGCGUGAGUGACGGUAAUGGGUAAAGAAGCACCGGCUAACUACGUG
rnacentral:rRNA from 1 species